rnacentral:rRNA from 1 species
CCUACGGGAGGCAGCAGUAGGGAAUAUUGCUCAAUGGGGGAAACCCUGAAGCAGCAACGCCGCGUGGAGGAUGAAGGUUUUCGGAUUGUAAACUCCUUUUGUUAGAGAAGAUAAUGACGGUAUCUAACGAAUAAGCACCGGCUAACUCCGUGCCAGCAGCCGCGGUAAUACGGAGGGUGCAAGCGUUACUCGGAAUCACUGGGCGUAAAGAGCGCGUAGGCGGGAUAGCAAGUCAGAUGUGAAAUCCUAUGGCUUAACCAUAGAAUUGCAUUUGAAACUGUUAUUCUAGAGUAUGGGAGAGGUAGGUGGAAUUCUUGGUGUAGGAGUAAAAUCCGUAGAGAUCGAGAGGAAUACUCAUGGCGAAGGCGACCUGCUAGAACAUAACUGACGCUGAUGCGCGAAAGCGUGGGGAGCGAACAGGAUUAGAUACCCGUGUAGUC